GACAGAGGGGGCAAGCGUUGCUCGGAAUUACUGGGCGUAAAGGGCGCGUAGGCGGGAUGGCAAGUCGGUCGUGAAAUCCCUCGGCUCAACUGAGGAUCGUCGAUCGAUACUGCCGUUCUUGAGGAUUGCAGAGGAGACUGGAAUUCCCGGUGUAGCGGUGAAAUGUGUAGAGAUCGGGAGGAACACCGAUGGCGAAGGCGGGUCUCUGGGCAAUUCCUGACGCUGAGGCGCGAAAGCGUGGGGAGCAAACGGG
rnacentral:rRNA from 1 species